GUGUGACUGCGUACCUUUUGUAUAAUGGGUCAGCGACUUAUAUUCUGUAGCAAGGUUAACCGAAUAGGGGAGCCGAAGGGAAACCGAGUCUUAACUGGGCGUUAAGUUGCAGGGUAUAGACCCGAAACCCGGUGAUCUAGCCAUGGGCAGGUUGAAGGUUGGGUAACACUAACUGGAGGACCGAACCGACUAAUGUUGAAAAAUUAGCGGAUGACUUGUGGCUGGGGGUGAAAGGCCAAUCAAACCGGGAGAUAGCUGGUUCUCCCCGAAAGCUAUUUAGGUAGCGCCUCGUGAAUUCAUCUCCGGGGGUAGAGCACUGUUUCGGCAAGGGGGUCAUCCCGACUUACCAACCCGAUGCAAACUGCGAAUACCGGAGAAUGUUAUCACGGGAGACACACGGCGGGUGCUAACGUCCGUCGUGAAGAGGGAAACAACCCAGACCGCCAGCUAAGGUCCCAAAGUCAUGGUUAAGUGGGAAACGAUGUGGGAAGGCCCAGACAGCCAGGAUGUUGGCUUAGAAGCAGCCAUCAUUUAAAGAAAGCGUAAUAGCUCACUGGUCGAGUCGGCCUGCGCGGAAGAUGUAACGGGGCUAAACCAUGCACCGAAGCUGCGGCAGCGACGCUGAUGCGUUGUUGGGUAGGGGAGCGUUCUGUAAGCCUGCGAAGGUGUGCUGUGAGGCAUGCUGGAGGUAUCAGAAGUGCGAAUGCUGACAUAAGUAACGAUAAAGCGGGUGAAAAGCCCGCUCGCCGGAAGACCAAGGGUUCCUGUCCAACGUUAAUCGGGGCAGGGUGAGUCGACCCCUAAGGCGAGGCCGAAAGGCGUAGUCGAUGGGAAACAGGUUAAUAUUCCUGUACUUGGUGUUACUGCGAAGGGGGGACGGAGAAGGCUAUGUUGGCCGGGCGACGGUUGUCCCGGUUUAAGCGUGUAGGCUGGUUUUCCAGGCAAAUCCGGAAAAUCAAGGCUGAGGCGUGAUGACGAGGCACUGCGGUGCUGAAGCAACAAAUGCCCUGCUUCCAGGAAAAGCCUCUAAGCAUCAGGUAACAUCAAAUCGUACCCCAAACCGACACAGGUGGUCAGGUAGAGAAUACCAAGGCGCUUGAGAGAACUCGGGUGAAGGAACUAGGCAAAAUGGUGCCGUAACUUCGGGAGAAGGCACGCUGAUAUGUAGGUGAAGUCCCUCGCGGAUGGAGCUGAAAUCAGUCGAAGAUACCAGCUGGCUGCAACUGUUUAUUAAAAACACAGCACUGUGCAAACACGAAAGUGGACGUAUACGGUGUGACGCCUGCCCGGUGCCGGAAGGUUAAUUGAUGGGGUUAGCGCAAGCGAAGCUCUUGAUCGAAGCCCCGGUAAACGGCGGCCGUAACUAUAACGGUCCUAAGGUAGCGAAAUUCCUUGUCGGGUAAGUUCCGACCUGCACGAAUGGCGUAAUGAUGGCCAGGCUGUCUCCACCCGAGACUCAGUGAAAUUGAACUCGCUGUGAAGAUGCAGUGUACCCGCGGCAAGACGGAAAGACCCCGUGAACCUUUACUAUAGCUUGACACUGAACAUUGAGCCUUGAUGUGUAGGAUAGGUGGGAGGCUUUGAAGUGUGGACGCCAGUCUGCAUGGAGCCGACCUUGAAAUACCACCCUUUAAUGUUUGAUGUUCUAACGUUGACCCGUAAUCCGGGUUGCGGACAGUGUCUGGUGGGUAGUUUGACUGGGGCGGUCUCCUCCUAAAGAGUAACGGAGGAGCACGAAGGUUGGCUAAUCCUGGUCGGACAUCAGGAGGUUAGUGCAAUGGCAUAAGCCAGCUUGACUGCGAGCGUGACGGCGCGAGCAGGUGCGAAAGCAGGUCAUAGUGAUCCGGUGGUUCUGAAUGGAAGGGCCAUCGCUCAACGGAUAAAAGGUACUCCGGGGAUAACAGGCUGAUACCGCCCAAGAGUUCAUAUCGACGGCGGUGUUUGGCACCUCGAUGUCGGCUCAUCACAUCCUGGGGCUGAAGUAGGUCCCAAGGGUAUGGCUGUUCGCCAUUUAAAGUGGUACGCGAGCUGGGUUUAGAACGUCGUGAGACAGUUCGGUCCCUAUCUGCCGUGGGCGCUGGAGAACUGAGGGGGGCUGCUCCUAGUACGAGAGGACCGGAGUGGACGCAUCACUGGUGUUCGGGUUGUCAUGCCAAUGGCACUGCCCGGUAGCUAAAUGCGGAAGAGAUAAGUGCUGAAAGCAUCUAAGCACGAAACUUGCCCCGAGAUGAGUUCUCCCUGACUCCUUGA
rnacentral:rRNA from 1 species